rnacentral:lncRNA from 1 species
GAGUGCAGAGUUGAUGUGAGAAGAAGCUAAUAUGGUAUGAAAUGCACCCAUCUCAGUUUUGGCACCAGGAUUAGAAAGCUUAACAAGUCAUGAUUUAGAUUCAGAAGUUACAAAGAGUGGAAAAGGCAUCUCUGAGCUUGACCUGAGAUUGACCAUCUGACCUGAGCUAUAAUUUUGACAUAAAUUUUAACUAAAAGGAGGUCAUUAUGUGCCAGCAAAGGACAUUAGAUCAUUGAAGGAAGACAUCCGUAGAUGACAGUGUAUUUACUUGGGUACUGAUGGGAAAAAAGUGGAGUGUUCAAUUUGAAGAAACAUCAAAUAAUCAACUUGGAAACAUGGAUUC